UUCGUGGUUCGUCUAUUCUAUUGACUGACGAGAUGAGAGACGAAAAAUGAGCCAGUCUUUUUAUUCAUUCUCGGUUGUGUUCGUAAUGAAACGAAUAAAGGUGUGUGUUUUGGAGAUUAAAUUAAAAGGAAUUUUAGGUCAAUAAUUUAAUGAAAUGUGUUUUAUUUUUUGUGUUAGUACAUUCUAUGAAUCAUUAUUUUUUCUAUAGAUAUUCGAUUAUAUGCCAUGAAUAUAUUUAGUAGUGUACGUUAAAUAAUAAAAACAUCCCUAAGUAAUGACACUGAAGAAAAUCGCGAAAAUGUCAACAAAAUCACAAAUAACUACUGAAUUAAGCGAGAGUAUCAGCAAUGUUUUGGGUAAAAAUGUUAAAAUAUUAUAUAAAUCUCUCAUUCGUAUGGAAUCUAGAGGUGACAAAGUGGACAAUAGGGUUUUGGUUGUUACAGCAUAUAGAAUUUUUAUUACUACUACAAAAAUUCCAACUAGGGUUGACAAUGGAUUUCACCUGAUGGAAAUAGAAGCAUUGGAAAGCAAAAAAGCCAAUCACCUUUCAAUAACACUUGUCCAUGAACAUAAGCCAGUGUCCAUUCUUAUAGGUGAAGAAGGUACCUCUGAAGGGCUUAUAAAUGUAAUGCACGCUAUUGUCGCCGCGUUUGACGAUUUAUUCCCAAAUGUGCCCAUAGAGGAUAUCGUAUGCAAGGUAAAUUUACCAUUUCAACUACAGCAUGUAAGUGGAACACGAAAACAUUCAACAUGCGGUGAUUUCUCAAACCAAUAUGCCGCUAUGUGUGAUCUAUGUCAAACACCUUUCAGAGCUGAAGUCGCGUGGGAUAUAGAUACAAUAUAUCUGGCACACGAUAUAAGAAUGUUGCAUUUGAAAGAUUUUGACCACUUGGAUCAAAGGGACCUGAUCCCGCUGGUGAUGGCGCUGCAGCACAACACGUGGUUCCGCGGCGUGUGCGGCGACGGCGUGCGCGCGGGCGGCGAGGCGUGGGAGAGCGUGUGCCGCGUGGUGCGCGCGGCGCGGCCGCCGCCGCAGCGGCUGUCGUGGCGCGCCGCCGCGCUGCGGCACGACCACGCCGCGCGCCUCGGACACGCGCUCGCCCGCGCCGCGCGCCCGCCCGCCAUGCACACUGUCGACUUCUCGCAGAACCACAUCGAAGACAAAGGUGCUAUUAGUAUAUUGUCGGGGCUGGCGAACAACCCGGACGGGCUGAGAUAUAUCGCGUUGUCGCAAUGCGGUCUCACCGGCAAGACGGUCACACACCUCGCCACCAUGCUCAACGACAACCCGUGCCAUCUCUCCACGCUCACACAUCUCGAUCUCUCGCAUAACAAUCUGAAAGAUGAUGUACACAACCUUUACAAUUUCCUGGCACAACCAAAUGUAUUGACAUAUUUGAAUUUAACCAACACAGAGACGACGUUAGAAAAUAUGUGGGGCGCGUUGCUGCGCGGGUGCGCGGCGCGGCUGGCGACGCUGUCGGUGGGCCGCAACCCGUGGUCGGCCGCGCGUCGCCCCAAGGACCCGCCGCCCUCCUUCCGACAGUUCUUCACCGCGUGCCUCGCGCUGCAGGAUCUCGACUUCUCCUACUGUAAAAUGCCGCCGGACGCUCUUAAGAGCCUCCUGCUGGGGCUGGCGUGCAACGAGUCGGCGGCGGGCGUGUCGCUGAGCCUGUCGGGCGUGCUGUCGUCCGCGCAGGCCGCGCACGUGCUCGAGUCCUGCAUACACGGCGUGCGCUGUUUGCGCUCACUCGACCUCUCCGACAACAGUAUGGAAUUCGAACUAUCGGGUAUUGUGAGAGCAGUAGGGAAGAAUCACUCAAUUACUCACUUAUCUUUAAGCAGACUUACUGGAAAACGAUCUUAUGCACCGCCUUUAAUACAAGCUUUAGUACAUGUACUGCAAGAACCAGACACAGCUUUAACUUCUUUAGAUCUCAGCGAUUGUAAACUCAAGGGCGACCUGUACGGUUUGCUAAACGCCCUUGGUGGAGCUCGGCGGCUACGUACACUCGACGUGGGCGGCAACGUGGCUGGCGAUGCAGCCGCGCGACUGCUCGCCAAGGCGCUGCAGUGCAACUGCACUCUGCAUACGCUCUAUAUAGACCGGAACGCGUUCAGUUUACAAGGCCUGACGGACAUAGCGACGGCGCUGCGACGCUCGGUGAGCGUCCGGCGUGUGGAAUUCCCCGGUUGCGACGCGGCCGCCGGCGGGCGCGGCGCCAGCGAGCGCGUCGCCACCUUGUGGCGCGAGCUGCACGAGCGAUUGGCGAGCAACAGUACGCCGACGCAGACGCACACGCUGCGGGCGCUGGCACUGGAGCGCGCGUGGGCGGGCGGCGAGGCGGCGGCGGCGCUGGCGGCGCAGGCGGCCGCCGCGUUGCCGCCGCCACCGCUGCCCGCCGCGCUCGAGCGUGCCGCCGCCGCCGCGCACCACCUGCUGCAUCAGUACCUGCAGCGAUGCGGUGAGGUAUUCGCGGCGAUGGGUGGAGCGGGAACUAGCGGAGAACUCGUCACGUUACAAGCUGUACGGGACGCUAUGGCGCCUUGCUCCAAUACGCUACAGGAUUUACUUAAUGAGGCGGUGGAGAGUCUGGCGCUGUCGGCGUGCGAAAGUGUAGACGGCGAAUGCGAACCGGUGACUCACGCAGGCUCCGACGUGCCAGACUUGCUCGCGCCAAUCUCACAUUCUGGGAAGUUGGACUAUUUGAAUUUGGCGACGCCGCUGGGCUGCCGGCGGCGCGAGCGAGGCCGAGGCGCGCGUCGCGUUCGACCCAAGUCGGUAGCGGAGCAGCAGUGCAGCAGCAACGAGAUGCUGUCGCUGCCGCCGCUGCCUGCCGAGGCUGCCGACGCGCUCGCUGACCUGCCCACGCAUAAGCUGCGACACCUCGUCAAAGGUCGUCCUAGACGAAAUAAAACGAGAGCGCCGACAAGACCUAUUACAGAUCAAUCGCAGGAUAUCGAUGAAGGCCUGGACGAGUUCUGGCGCGCGUGCCGCACGCCGCCGGGCAGCGAGGAGGCGUCGCUGUCGGCGCGCACGCCGCUCACGUCGCGCAGCCUGCACUCGCUGUCGUCGCUCGCCUCCGCCUCCGCCUCGCCCGCCUCGCCCUCGCCCUCCCCGCUCAGGCACUCGCCCACGCUGCAGCGGGAUGACACCAUGUAUAGCGUUACAUCCGGGGAAAGUACACCGGUUUUAUUAGAAUGUGAAGUGUCUCGGUGCAAAUCGUCGGACAAUGUAGGUGUAAAGGCACCCAAUACUCCGCCUCCAUCACGUUCCUCAGAUAAUGUCAACACAAUGGGCAACGGGUGCGCGCGCACUCCGGGCAAGGCUCGCCCGUGGUCCGUAGCUGGCGUCAAUCCAGACACUAACGCUGCCGCCUGCACUACAGAAGGCGUGGAGGCGUGCGUCGGCGGCAGCAUUGUGGGCAUCACGCCGGGCGCCGCACUAACCAGUAACCAACUUUCUGACGCUAUUCUUUACUGAGCCUACUGUCCAUGUGUCCUGCCGCUCUAUAGGCUCAAUGUUACGAGAACAUCCCUUAACUCCAGAUACCACGGAGGCCUAAACGAGACGGCUGCACAGUGCAGAGCUUGGGAGAUUUACGUGAUAGAUGAGCAGGGUUCAAUGUCCAGAUAUUACACUAAUCGGAUUUUAUUCUCGGAUGCUCACAGUUGUGCCACUUAGGAUUUUAACUUUUAGACAGUAAAAUAGUUACUGGUUAGUAUUAAACAUUUCAAUCGCCAUUUUAGUUAUUCCUACCAGAUAUAAUUUGAUAUUUUUUUUUAUAUAUCAUUGACGAUACUUUAUCAUAAUAAUACCAAGUAACUUAUGGUAGAAUUAAUUAGAUAUUUAAAUUGUAAUGACUAAUGAUCAUUUACUGUGAUUCAAUUAGUAUUAUAUAUUCAUUUCGCUUAGUCACUAAUAUAAAUUUAUUUGAUAUUUUAAAAAUUAUAAUUUAUAUCUAUUAAUUUACACUAUUUUGGGAUAUUCUUAUUUAGUCACAACAUGCUCUUUUUAAGUAAUAAAUGUAGCGAAAUAUCCGAAACAAGUGUAGAGUAAGUUUAAUAAUAAUUACAAUCUAACCACAUUUAUAUGAAGUAAUAGGGUAUUCCUUAUUUUGAUUUAUAAGUAAUUUGCAAUCAUUUUAAAGGAUCUGAAAGUCUGAAAUAUUUGGCCCCUGCAAGUCACACAGCCUCAAAUUAUUUACAUAUAUAAGGAAAUACCCUAUCACUGUCAUUAUAUAUUGGUUUUAAAAGAAAUUUGUAAGGAUUUAAUUAAUUGGUCUUACUAGUCAUUUUUAAAGGCCUAAAUUAACGCACAAAUUUAUUUAUAUAUAAUAUUAUAGUCUCUUUUUUAGAGGGUGUUCACCGCAAGGUUAUGUCUGAAUUAGCUGUCAAAAUUCGUACAAAUUUUAAACAAUUUUAAAUAAAUACAUAUUAAAGAGAAAUAUAUAUAUAAAAAAAUAAUGUUCUAUAGAUAGAAAACCGUCUAAAGUAUUCAAAAAGAAGGAAAUAGUUUUUACAAAUUGAUAGAUAAUGCAGACAUUCCCAAUCUUUGGUAUGAACGCUUGUAACAUUUGAUUUGUAAUAUAUUGGGUUGGUGCAUAUGAAAUUUAAACAGAGGAUCAAAAAUACUAAAUAAUUUAUUUAAAAAUUUUUUAUUCGUGACAAAAUAUUGGCUUCAAUACAACAACCAACGAUCCACAAAAGAAUUUAAAAAAAUCAUCUUUUUUUGAAUCAAUAAAUUCACCAAAGGCAUUUUGUAUGAUAUACAGAUAUCAGAUUUAAAUUUCUUAUUUUUCAAAAAAUUGCCAAAACUUCUGAACAUAUGGCAAUCUGUUGGAGAAAGAUCAGGCGAGUAUGGUGGGUGCGGUAAAAUUUCAUAUUCCAGCUCAUGUAUUUUUUGUUAAUGAUUUGUGCGACAUGUGGUCUAGCGUUGUCAUGAAGCAGGAUUCCACCACUUCUGUUAACCAAUUUUGGCUGUUUCUCUUUUAAUUUUUCAUGCAUCUUUUGCAGUUCAACACAAUUCUUUUGGGCGUUCAUUGUCACACCUUGUGGCAAAAAGUUAUAAUGGAUAACGCCUUUUUGUGCCUUUUUGCAUAACUUUUCGAAGGUGAAGUUCGUGUUUUGGGGCCAAACAUGGACGUGCACUCUUGUCUAACCAUGAUGCAGAUUUUCGUGUAUUAUCAUAAAGCACCCACUUUUUAUCGCAUGUCACUAUACGGUCAAGAAAAGGUUCAGUUAUUUAUUGAUGGUAAAAAGAUGAUGUAAAGAUAAAACGAUUUUGUUUAUUUUGCUCUGAAAGUUCAUGUGGUACCCACUGAUCAAGCUUCCUUACUUUAUCUAUUUGUCUGAGGCCUCGUACAACAGUUGUAUGAUGAAUAGCGAGUUCUUGUGCAAGUUCUCGUGUGCUCAUAUGCAUAUUGGACUCUACUAAUUGUUGUAAAAUUUGCAGAUCCAAUACGCGCUAAGGUCGACCGCGAGGCUCAUUUUCAAAUUUCUCUACUCCACAAUGAAAUUUUCGGAACCAAUUUCUUACUGUUCUUACAGAAAUUGUAUUCUUCCCCAAUCUCUCAUUAGUUUAUUUUUUGCUGUUUCACGUGCACUUGAUCCACCUUUGAACUCAUAAAACAUGAUACCUCUAAUUUUUUUCGAAUCCAUGGUAAGAAAAUCAUGUCUAACGUCUGAAUCCUCUGAUGGUAUUUAAAAUAUUAAUCAAGUGUCGAUCGCUUUGCUCACAAUAACAAAAAUGAAAAGUUAAAACGUGUUUUCGAUAAUACGCGCCUACUGUUUUACAUUGUUGCGCAAUUGGCAAUUUCAUAUGCACCAACCCAAUACUAGUUUAUAUUAAUUUCAUAGAACUAAAAUAAAUUUAUUUCAUGGCGAAUAUCUUCCAGUUUAUACAUUCCUUUAUUAUUUAUUGGAGAUCGGAUGUAAUGAAUUAAUAAUGAAGUGUGAUUUUUAAUAUGAUGUUCAAAACGUGAGGUGAAAAUUUUAGAUUAGUAGGUAUACCUAUUGCAGUGAUGUAAGGUUCAAUUUUAUGAUAAUUUGAUAAAUGUAGAGAACGCUCCAUACAUGUUAAGUGUUCAUUAGAAUAACUACUUGUAAACAAUUUUGUUCAUUUAUCUAUUGAAUAUUUUAAUCUGUCGUUUAUUGAAGUUCUUACAAUGUAAAUUUACAAAUCAUUAAGUAUGUAGAUGUAUAGAUUAUGGCUAAACUAUAAUUAUUUCAUAGUAUUUUUAUAUUCAUUCCAAUUUAGUUGGUUUUACCUAGCUCUUUGGUACCAGACUGAUUUUACGGUACUUUUAUUUAUGGUGCAAUUUAUGUCUAGAGCGUUGUGAUAAUCUGUUUAAAAUUACAAUAUACA
rnacentral:misc_RNA from 1 species